UCUAAUGAUUUUUGUAAUAUCAUUAUGAAUGAUAUCAAAAUCAUGUAGACAACUAAGAAAUAGUAUUUACGAAAGGUCAUAGUCUAUUAGUGUAAUGUACACAUUAAUCAAACUAAUUCCUUAAAGUAGAUAAUGUCACAAAUAUCUACCUUUGGCAAUUUAGGUUUGAUCGUUUAACAAGAAUAGGAUCAAUAAGAGAUAAUUCUCGAAGUUCAUGAUUAUGAAUCAUUGUCAACUUGUCAAUCCUAUCUCUUUAGUAAGAUGAUCGAAUCAUCUUUUUCUAAAACAGAUGAACGAGCCAAUGAUGUUCUGAAUCUAAUAUAUACUGAUGUGUUGUAUCUAUGAACAUGUUUGCUAUAAAUUUGGAUUAUUUAAAAUGUUCAAAUAAUUUUUUAAUAAGGUAGAGAAAUAAACUGAAAAGAGUAUUGAAACUCUUCGAUC
rnacentral:lncRNA from 1 species